GUCGCCUCAUUCAUUUAAAUCAAUUGUUGGACAGCGACAUGCUUCCUAAUUAUUUGUAUAUAGUAACGUGUACAGUAUGUGUGCACUAAUAUUUAGUUUAAAUUUUCCUUUUAAUGAUUUUUAAUAUCUAAACAUGCCCCCCAUGGAAACCAGCCUAGAGUUGAUGGGGCUAGCGUGUUCUUCUUUCUGUUAAUUUUAAAUAAAGUAUUACCUACCUACCUACCUACCUAAAUCCCUCAUACAGUACUGCCAAGAAAUAACUUAUCAAAAACCGCG